rnacentral:rRNA from 1 species
UACGUAGGGUCCGAGCGUUGUCCGGAAUUACUGGGCGUAAAGAGCUCGUAGGUGGUUUGUCGCGUUGUUCGUGAAAACUCACAGCUCAACUGUGGGCGUGCGGGCGAUACGGGCAGACUAGAGUACUGCAGGGGAGACUGGAAUUCCUGGUGUAGCGGUGGAAUGCGCAGAUAUCAGGAAGAACACCGGUGGCGAAGGCGGCUCUCUGGGCCUUACCUGACGCUGAGGAGCGAAAGCGUGGGUAGCGAACAGG